rnacentral:misc_RNA from 1 species
AGCUGAAACCGAAGGCUAGGGGCUGGAUGUCCCAAGUAGCUUCACCAGAGGACCUGAUGUUGCAACUAUUUUCGAUGCAAAGGCAGAGGACUAUCCCAGAGCAGAAUGGCGAGAGCUCAGCUGCUGGUAGAGAACUUCUAGAACUUAUAUUGACAUUCAAUGCCAACAGCGAUUCAGAUGAUGGAGCGGACUCAUCAAGUCGUGAUGACCUGUUUGGCUAGGAGAUGAUGUGGCUUCCUUUGGCCUAUAAGAUAGUAAUUGUACAUAA